rnacentral:rRNA from 1 species
GACAGAGGUCUCAAGCGUUAGGCGGAAUCACUGGGCUUAAAGCGUGUGUAGGCGGAUGCCUAAGUACCUUGUGAAAUCCCACGGCUUAACCGUGGAACUGCUUGGUAUACUGGGUGUCUUGAGCCAGCUAGGGGCGACCGGAACAAACGGUGGAGCGGUGAAAUGCGUAGAUAUCGUUUGGAACGCCAAUGGUGAAAACAGGUCGCUGGGGCUGUGCUGACGCUGAGACACGAAGGCCAGGGGAGCAAACGGG